rnacentral:rRNA from 1 species
UACGUAGGGGGCAAGCGUUGUCCGGAAUCACUGGGCGUAAAGCGCGUGUAGGCGGCCCUUUAAGUCCGAUGUGAAAGCCCGGGGCUCACCCCCGGAAGUGCAUUGGAUACUGAAGGGCUGGAGUACCGGAGAGGAGGGUGGAAUUCCUGGUGUAGCGGUGAAAUGCGUAGAUAUCAGGAGGAACACCUGUGGCGAAGGCGGCCCUCUGGACGGAUACUGACGCUGAGACGCGAAAGCGUGGGGAGCAAACAGG